GGUGAAGUUCAUCUGCCUGGAUGUGGCCAAUGGGUAUUCGGAACAUUUUGUGGAAUUCGUGAAACUGGUCCGAUCCAAAUUUCCCGAACACACCAUCAUGGCAGGGAACGUGGUGACGGGAGAGAUGGUGGAGGAGCUCAUCCUUUCUGGAGCAGAUAUCAUCAAAGUGGGAGUCGGACCAGGCUCUGUGUGCACCACCCGAACCAAGACAGGCGUGGGCUACCCGCAGCUGAGCGCUGUGAUAGAGUGUGCUGACUCAGCACACGGCCUCAAGGGACACAUCAUCUCUGUGAGUUUUAGGGUCUGGGGACCCUGGGGGGAAUCUUUGCCCUGGCUCUGAGGUGCCAAACUGCCUUCAAAUACCCUCUUUCCAAAAAUGUCACAUUUACGGGUACUAGGGAUCUGGAUGUCCGUAAUGAAUUUGGGAGAGGCAGGCUGUGGGUCAUCACGUCUCCGAUUCAGGAGUUGGGACAUGCUUGGGGACGUGCUAAGGAGACAUGAGUAUUUGUGACAGAUGAGAUGAUGGAGGACACUGGAUAG
rnacentral:lncRNA from 1 species